GUUCCGGUGGUCUAGUGGUUAGAGCAUCCGCCUCAAAAGCGGGAGUCUUGGGUUCGAUCCCCUGUCGAGUCA